rnacentral:misc_RNA from 1 species
GAUGAAGAACGCAGCGAAAUGCGAAAAGUAAUGUGAAUUGCAGAAUUCAGUGAAUCAUCGAAUCUUUGAACGCACAUUGCGCCCGCCAGUAUUCUGGCGGGCAUGCCUGUCUGAGCGUCAUUUCAACCCUCAUGCCCCUAGGGCGUGGUGUUGGGGAUCGACCAGCGCCCGCGAGGGACGGCCGGCCCCUAAAUCUAGUGGCGGACCCGUCGUGGCCUCCCCUGCGAAGUAGUGAUAUUCCGCAUAGGAGAGCGACGAGCCCCUGCCGUUAAACCCCCAACUUUCUAAGGUUGACCUCAGAUCAGGUAGGAAUACCCGCUGAACUUAAGCAUAUCAAUAAGCGGAGGA